UACGGAGGGAGCUAGCGUUGUUCGGAAUUACUGGGCGUAAAGCGUGCGCAGGCGGUUAUGUAAGACAGAUGUGAAAUCCCCGGGCUCAACCUGGGAAUUGCAUUCGAUACUGGAUAGCUAGAGUUCGGCAGAGGGAAGCGGAAUUUCGGGUGUAGCGGUGAAAUGCGUAGAUAUCCGAAGGAACAUCAGUGGCGAAAGCGGCUUCCUGGACCAGAACUGACGAUCAGGCACGAAAGCGUGGGGAGCAAACAGG
rnacentral:rRNA from 1 species